GUUUGCCUAAAACACAUAAAACAUUUUAUACAAUAUUUUAUUUAUUUAAAUGAUGUUAAAUUAAUUUUUUUGACUAUACUUAGUAUUUGUAACCUGUAAUACACCAAAUCCUGUCACAAAAAGUACAUUAUUACAAUAUUGGAUUUUGUCACGAUCUCGCUGGCAGAUGGCGCUGUGGCGGCGAUGUUCACGGAAAGCCGGAGGGCGCGUGCGUGUACGAACCAGAGCGAGCACAUGCUCGCGGGUUACAUAGGAACCAUGGAGACUUUGUUUACAAUGGCCAUGGGCGUUUGCUUCUGUUUUGUCUCCGCCUUGUUUAGUUAUUGGUGGAUAUUCGAGGGCGCGUCUCGGUUGUUACCAGCUGUCAGCGUUUAAGGUAAAUGACAUUAGUUAUUUAAACCCCUCACGUUACCUCGCACUUGGCGCAGUAUUGAAGGUUUAAAGGAGUUAAAUGUGUAAUGGUGCCACGCGGUAGUGUUUCCAUGCCCUGCUCUGGUUUCAUGCCUCGGUUCUAGGCAAGUGUGCCAUGUGAUAGUGUUUCCAGGUCCUGUUCUAGUUGAAUGUUUGGACCUCGUUUCCUGUUUCUUGUACAUUGACUUUAGUUUUAAAUAAAUACUUGCACCUGCACUUGCUUCCUGUUGGAGUCUGUACGUAACAGAUUUACAAUUAAAAAAGUACAUAAGUGAAAUUAUGAAGGUGAAAAACCCAUGAAUUAUUAUUAAAAUUUCAUUAAUUAUUAUGAUGAUUUAUCACAAUCAUAAUGUAAAAAAAUGGGUGAUUGGGGAGAGAAAGUGCAGGUAAUAUUUUAUUGUAAAUAAACAAUUUCCUUGUUUUACAAGAAAUAUACAAGAAAAUUAUUAUCAUUUUAACUUUUACAUUUAGUCAUUUGGCACUUAGCUGACAUUAAAUUAGAUCAAACAGUGUAUUGGUAUAUAGUAUAGAUGUUAUAUCAUUUGUUCUCUUUUAAUCACUUACAGGAAGAACAGUUUGUAAAUGUAUUCCUCUCUCGCUGUGAUGAUGCGGGUUUCAUGUGAUUCUCACCCAAGAACAGAUUUCUAAUAAUAUACAGAUGAUUAUUAGCAUGUCUGUUAAGCGCUAGAAAAAUCUAAAAGACUUUUAUAUAUUUAAUAGUUGUUGUUUUUUUAGCAGUAUAAUUUUUUGUUAAAAUCUACAAAAAUCCCAAUCUAAAAUGCAAAUCAGAGUUUAUACAUAACAUCACACACAUUAACUUUCGACUCAAUCUAAAGUCCAGGCUGUCUCCAGACUAUCAGCGUAAGCUGAGAGAAUCCCUCACUCACAGGGAGGUGUAGAUGUAGACGAAUAUGAUGACGAGGAGAUUCAGGACGGUGCAAGCGAUCCCAAGGAACGCCAGGAUGGACUCUUCUCGGCUCUCGCUCUUCUGUUUCGGUGGCUCAUCGUGACCCACGGCAUGAUUUAGCAUGUUCCUGUGACGAGGAGUGAACAAUCGCCUCCUAAAGCCUCUCUGCAGAAGAGUAACACUGAGUAUCAUAACUGUCGAAUUCGCGUUAAUGUGUGAUACUAAUAAUAACACCACAUACUCUACAUGCACACAUAUUAUAUCUACUAUACUACAGGUAGAGUACUGUAACGCUCUAUACAUUAUAUCUACUAUACUACAGGUAGAGUACUG
ensembl:lncRNA